rnacentral:tRNA from 1 species
GCCUGCGUGGUGGAAUUGGCAGACACUUGCGACUUAAAAUCGUUUGUCGAAGUAACGACGUAUGGGUUCGAGUCCCAUCGUAGGCA